rnacentral:tRNA from 1 species
GGAGAAAUGGCCGAGUGGCUUAAGGCGCACGCUUGGAAAGCGUGUAUACCUCGCAAGGGUAUCGUGGGUUCGAAUCCCUCUUUCUCCG